CGCGCAGGCGCGGAGCGAGAGGAAGAUGGCGGCCCCCCUGGACUUGGAGCUGAAGAAGGCCUUCACGGAGCUGCAGGCCAAGGUGAUCGACACGCAGCAGAAGGUGAAGCUCGCCGACAUCCAGAUCGAGCAGCUGAGCAAGACCAAGAAGCACGCGCACCUCACUGACACCGAGAUCAUGACGCUGGUGGACGAGACCCGCAUGUACGAGGGCGUGGGCAGGAUGUUUAUUCUUCAGUCUAAAGGAGUCAUUCAUAAUCAGCUUUUAGAAAAGCAGAGAAUAGCAGAAGAGAAAAUUAAGGAAUUAGAGGUCUGGUUGUCUUGUUGCACAGGAGAAUUUUUCUUCUCCUUUGAAAAGGGAAAUACCCUGAACAGUGAGCAAAACAAGCCUUAAAUGUAAUGUAAUGAUGAAAAGGUUGAGAGUGUCGGAGUUAACGCCCUUGGAACAGAACCUUCUUAAUGGAGAAGUCCUCUGAUGCUGGACUGGUGCCAUACAAAUUUAAGUUAAUUUAGCAGACCCCUUAUAGCUCUGUUGUUGAUACAGCCCAGCAACUCUGAGGAGGUUUCAGAGGGAACAAAAUUCAGUCUGUGUGACCACUGCCCAGCCAGAAAGCAGAAGAAGUCGUACCUGGAACGGAGCGUGAAGGAAGCAGAAGAUAACAUUAGGGAGAUGCUGAUGGCCCGGAGGGCACAGUAGAUGCGAUUUCCUGUUGGGCCAUGGAUGGACCUGUGCCGCCCUCUGGGUGAUGCUGGCAGCUCUGCUGUGAUGGCUGUUACCUGGCAGAUCUAAUAAACCCUGCUGCAAAGCCCAUGUCAGCUC
rnacentral:lncRNA from 1 species